AGAGUUUGAUCCUGGCUCAGGAUGAACGCUAGCGGCGUGCCUUAGGCAUGCAAGUCGAACGGUCCGAUUUAUCGGACAGUGGCGGACGGGUGAGUAACGCGUAGGAACCUACCCCUGGGUGGGGAAUAGCCCCGAGAAAUUGGGGGUAAUACCGCAUGGUCUCCGAUUUAUCGGAGUAAAGGCCGUAACUGGCCGCCGAGGGAAGGGCCUGCGUCCUAUCAGCUUGUUGGUGAGGUAAUGGCUCACCAAGGCGACGACGGGUAGCCGGUGUGAGAGCACGACCGGCCACAAGGUCACUGCGACACGGGGCCUACACCUACGGGUGGCAGCAACCAGGAAUAUUGCGCAAUGGGCGAAAGCCUGACGCAGCGACGCCGCGUGGUGGAAGAAGCCUUUUGGGGUGUAAACACCUUUUACUAGGGAAGAAGAUCUGACGGUACCUGGUGAAUAAGCACCUGCAAACUACGUGCCAGCAGCCGCGGUAAAACGUAGGGUGCAAGCGUUAUCCGGAUUUACUGGGCGUAAAGAGUAUCGUAGGCGGUUUGUUAAGUACAUCGUUAAAGCCCCGGCUUAACCGGGGAACGGCGUUGUAGACUGGCAGACUAGAGGAUGUUCGGGAGUGCUGGAAUUCCUGGUGGAGGGGUGAAAUCCGUUGAUAUCAGGAGGAACACCGAGGGCGAAGGCAGGCACUUGAGACAUUCCUGACGCUGAUGAACGAAAGCUAGGGGAGCGAAAGGGAUUAGAGACCCCUGUAGUCCUAGCCGUAAACGAUCCUCACUAGUUGUUCUCGAUGUAUGUCGGGAGUGACGUAAGCUAACGCGUUAAGUGAGGCGCCUGGGUAGUACGGCCGCAAGGCUAAAACUCAAAGGAAUUGACGGGGAUCUGCACAACCAGUGGAGCAUGUGGUUCAAUUCGAUACGAAGCGUAGAACCUUACCUGGGCUUGACAUGUACCUGCAUACUUUGGGAAACCAGAGUAGUCUUUGAGAGUGGUACACAGGUGGUGCAUGGCUGUCGUCAGCUCGUGCUGUGAGGCGUCCGCUUAAGUGCGGUAACGAGCGCAACCCUUGCCCUGUGUUGAAUGUUCACAGGGGACUGCCUUGCUGCAAGCAGGGAGGAAGGAGAGGACGACGUCAAGUCAGCAUGUCCCUUAUGUCCAGGGCGACACACAUCCUACAAUGGGCGGCACAAUGGGUGGCGACGGGGCGACCCUGAGCUAAUCCUCAAAGCCGUUCUCAGUUCGGAUUGCAGGCUGCAAUUCGCCUGCAUGAAGCCGGAAUUGGUAGUAAUCGCGGGUCAGCAGACCGCGGUGAAUACGUUCCCAGAUCUUGUACACACUGCCCGUCAAGCCAGCAAAGUCGGCAGCGCCCGAAGU
rnacentral:rRNA from 1 species